AGUGAACGCUGGCGGUAGGCCUAACACAUGCAAGUCGAACGGCAGCACAGUAAGAGCUUGCUCUUACGGGUGGCGAGUGGCGGACGGGUGAGGAAUACAUCGGAAUCUACUUUUUCGUGGGGGAUAACGUAGGGAAGCUUACGCUAAUACCGCAUACGACCUACGGGUGAAAGCAGGGGAUCUUCGGACCUUGCGCGAUUGAAUGAGCCGAUGUCGGAUUAGCUAGUUGGCGGGGUAAAGGCCCACCAAGGCGACGAUCCGUAGCUGGUCUGAGAGGAUGAUCAGCCACACUGGAACUGAGACACGGUCCAGACUCCUACGGGAGGCAGCAGUGGGGAAUAUUGGACAAUGGGCGCAAGCCUGAUCCAGCCAUACCGCGUGGGUAAAGAAGGCCUUCGGGUUGUAAAGCCCUUUUGUUGGGAAAGAAAAGCAGCAGGUUAAUACCCCGCUGUUCUGACGGUACCCAAAGAAUAAGCACCGGCUAACUUCGUG
rnacentral:rRNA from 1 species